rnacentral:rRNA from 1 species
UACGAAGGGGGCUAGCGUUGUUCGGAAUUACUGGGCGUAAAGCGUGCGCAGGCGGCCAUCCAAGUCAGGUGGUGAAAGCCCGGAGCUCAACUCCGGAAUUGCCAUUGAAACUGUUUGGCUCGAGUACGAGAGAGGUGAGUGGAAUUCCCAGUGAUAGAGGUGAAAUUCGUAAGAUAUUGGGGAAGAAACACCGGUGGCGAAGGCGGC